rnacentral:rRNA from 1 species
GUAGUCAUAUGCUUGUCUCAAAGAUUAAGCCAUGCAUGUCUAAGUAUAAGCAAGUAUACUGCGAAACUGCGAAUGGCUCAUUAAAUCAGUUAUCGUUUAUUUGAUAGUACCUACUACUUGGAUAACCGUGGUAAUUCUAGAGCUAAUACAUGCAAAAAACCCCAACUUCGGAAGGGGUGUAUUUAUUAGAUAAAAAACCAAUGCCCUCUGGGCUUUAUGGUGAAUCAUGAUAACUUAACGAAUCGCAUAGCCUUGAGCUGGCGAUGGUUCAUUCAAAUUUCUGCCCUAUCAACUUUCGAUUGGUGAGUAGUGUUCACCAAUGGUAUCGACGGGUAACGAAGAAUUAGGGUUCGAUCUCGGAGAGGACGCCCGAGAAAUGGCGUGCACAUCCAAGGAAGGCAGCAGGCGCGCAAAUUACCCAAUCCCGAUUCGGGGAGGUAGUGACAAUAAAUACUGAUGCAGGGCUCUUUUGGGUCUUGCAAUUGGAAUGAGUACAAUUUAAAUCCCUUAACGAGGAACAAUUGGGGGGCAAGUCUGGUGCCAGUAGCC